rnacentral:rRNA from 1 species
ACAGCAGUCGCCACGGUAAUACGGAGGGUGCAAGCGUUAUCCGGAUUUAUUGGGUUUAAAGGGUCCGUAGGCGGAUCUGUAAGUCAGUGGUGAAAUCUCACAGCUUAACUGUGAAACUGCCAUUGAUACUGCAGGUCUUGAGUAAAUUUGAAGUGGCUGGAAUAAGUAGUGUAGCGGUGAAAUGCAUAGAUAUUACUUAGAACACCAAUUGCGAAGGCAGGUCACUAAGAUUUAACUGACGCUGAUGGACGAAAGCGUGGGGAGCGAACAGGAUUAGAUACCCCGGUAGUCCCUGUCUCUUAUAC